CGCAAUGUCUCGGUCGUGGGUUCGUUAUGCCAGUUGUUCAAGCCGUUCUGUACAUUUAUACUGGAUAUUAACUGGAGUCAUUUAGCUGUGCUGAUGCUGUUUGCCGUGUGUUUUGCAUCAGUGCUUCGUGACAUCGGCUGUAUUGCGUGUUUUCGCCGACGGCUUACUACCACAAUGGCGGGAUCUGCGUUCGCCGCCUUCGUGUCUCGGUGCGUCUUUGUACGUCGCACGUUCGGAUAACACUUUUUCCGACGGCUGGACAUCCUUCUUGUACCUUGGCGCUAGCUGGAUGACGGGACCUCAUCAUGAUCAGUGUAUUGCUUUCCUAUGUCUACAAGAACCGUCAUGGGUGGCCUGUGACAGCAAGCUUUUGUGGGCAGCCAGUGCUCUCCUACGAAGGCUGACCUACUCUGGCAGCGGCGGCAAUCAUCUUCAAGAUUUAUCGAUGAUCACCUUUGCUGCUAUUUGUCACUCUUCUUAAUUACACUUUCUGCAUCUUUUCUAAUCUAUUAGGUAAUAAAGUAUGAGUAUGUGA